GCUCCCAGUGAUGUUCAUUCAAUCCAUGCUAAUGCUGAGUUACUUCAAUGAUUAAUUUCAUCAUUUGAUUCUGAGGGGGCC